rnacentral:rRNA from 1 species
CUUGCGGCGUGCUAACCAUGCAAGUCGAACGUGAUCCGCCCUUCGGGGUGGUGAAAGUGGCGCACGGGUGAGUAACGCGUGGAUAAUCUGCCCGAGGAUUUGGGAUAACAUCUCGAAAGGGGUGCUAAUACCGAAUAAGCCCACGGGGUCUACGGAUCUUGCGGGAAAAGGGGGGGACCUUCGGGCCUCCUGUCCUUGGAUGAGUCUGCGUACCAUUAGCUAGUUGGUGGGGUAAUGGCCUACCAAGGCGACGAUGGUUAGCUGGUCUGAGAGGAUGAUCAGCCACACUGGAACUGAGACACGGUCCAGACUCCUACGGGAGGCAGCAGUGGGGAAUUUUGCGCAAUGGGGGAAACCCUGACGCAGCAACGCCGCGUGGGUGAUGAAGGCCUUCGGGUCGUAAAGCUCUGUCUGGAGGGAAGAAAUGAUUGGGAGCUAAUACCUCUUGAUCUUGACGGUACCUCUGAAGGAAGCACCGGCUAACUCCGUGCCAGCAGCCGCGGUAAUACGGAGGGUGCAAGCGUUGUUCGGAAUUAUUGGGCGUAAAGCGCGUGUAGGCGGUCUUUUAAGUCUGAUGUGAAAGCCCCGGGCUCAACCUGGGAAGUGCAUUGGAAACUGGGAGGCUUGAGUACGGGAGAGGAGAGUGGAAUUCCUAGUGUAGGAGUGAAAUCCGUAGAUAUUAGGAGGAACACCGGUGGCGAAGGCGGCUCUCUGGACCGAUACUGACGCUGAGACGCGAAAGCGUGGGUAGCAAACAGGAUUAGAUACCCUGGUAGUCCACGCCGUAACGAUGAGUACUAGUGUUGCGGGUAUUGACCCC